GUCUAUGGCCAUACCACCCUGAACGUGCCCGAUCUUGUCUGAUCUCGGAAGCUAAGUAGGGUCAGGCCUGGUUAGUACUUGGAUGGGAGACCGCCUGGGAAUACCAGGUGCUGUAGGCU
rnacentral:rRNA from 1 species